rnacentral:rRNA from 1 species
CACGUAGGGUGCGAGCGUUGUCCGGAAUUAUUGGGCGUAAAGAGCUCGUAGGCGGUCUGUCGCGUCGGCUGUGAAAACCCGGAGCUCAACUCCGGGCCUGCAGUCGAUACGGGCAAACUGGAGUGUUGCAGGGGAGACUGGAAUUCCUGGUGUAGCGGUGAAAUGCGCAGAUAUCAGGAGGAACACCGGUGGCGAAGGCGGGGUCUCUGGGCCGAUACUGACGCUGAGGAGCGAAAGCGUGGGGAGCGAACAG